rnacentral:tRNA from 1 species
GAGAAUGUGGCUCAGUUGAUAGAGUGCUUGCCUAGCAUGCCCAAGGCCCUGGGUUUGAUCCCCAGCAUUUUCA